GUGAAAAGGGUGGGUAGAAGUGAUGCUUUUGCUACGGAGUUUGAUCUUGAAGCUGAAGAAUAUGUUCCACUUCCUAAAGGGGAGGUUCACAAACGCAAAGAAAUAGUUCAGGAUGUGACUCUACAUGAUCUAGAUGCUGCCAAUGCACGGCCUCAAGGUGGGCAGGAUAUACUAUCUCUAAUGGGUCAGAUGAUGAAGCCAAGGAAAACAGAAAUCACAGACAAGUUGCGGCAAGAAAUAAAUAAGGUGGUUAACCGAUAUAUCGAUGAAGGUAUAGCAGAGCUAGUCCCGGGAGUUCUAUUCAUUGAUGAGGUGCAUAUGCUGGAUAUGGAGUGUUUUUCGUACUUAAAUCGAGCUUUAGAGAGCUCACUCUCGCCAAUAGUGAUCUUUGCUACAAACAGAGGAAUCUGCAAUGUGCGAGGGACUGAUAUGAAUAGUCCUCAUGGAAUACCUGUUGACUUGUUGGACCGAUUGGUGAUCAUCCGAACUCAAACUUAU
rnacentral:misc_RNA from 1 species